AGAGGGGGGUUGAAGUGGAAAAGAGGACACUGUGAUAUUAAAGCAGAUAUUUUGAUUGACAGAAAUAAGGAAACCAAAUAGAGAGAAUAUGAGUGAGAAACUGAGAAGCUAGUAGAGUCACUGCAAGUCAAUUUCAGAGAGAAAGUGAAGAAGCGAGAUAGAGAAAGAGUACAUAAGAAGUCCAUUCAUCUAAUGUGGAUGAGAAUCUUAUAUGAUAUUUGAAUCGGUUCUCAUCGAAGGCAGAGUAGGACUAAUAGGUGUAGUAUGUUAUGGUUAUGGAGGGUGCUCCGAUUGUGGCCAAAGCUAUUAAGAUUCUGAUGGUUUCCAUGGGAAGAGUAAGGCCUGAUUUUCUCUGUCAUAUCCGGCUGAACUGAGAUUUACUUAUUUUUGUAGACAACUUCCAUUAAGCUAUGUUAGUGGUCUCAUUCUGUUUUGUACCUUGUGCCAAUUUCUUUGGAUGGUUCUCAAGUGAUGUACAUACUACUGUAGUUUUCGGGAUCAGAUAUUGGCUUCGUCCCAUCUUAAGAACUUUGUUGCAUGGUAACCUCCAGGAAUUCGGAGAUAGAAUUGGGAAAAUUAUGUCCCCAAACAGUUCCUUGGGGGAAAAGUAUCUCUGAUAUGGAUUGUGAGGGCAAAUUUCUAGAGGACGGAAGGAGUGCUGAGAGAGCCCAAGUGUUCGAUAAAUUAAGAACUAACAACAAUGCAUCACAGUCUCCAUGAUUUGCAAGGAAUCCAAUAAAGUGGGGGAAUGUGCUAUUUGCUUUACUUUCAGGGACAGAGUCCCUGUCUCAUACCGGACAAGGACGGCUUGCAGGGGAACUGAGUAUGGAACAUCAGAUGAAGUUGGAAGAAGCCUAACAUCACCUGCCCUGAAGUCCUCAGUUGAAGCUCUCUUGCCUGAGGAUACCUGAAGUGAAAGCUCUACAGAAAUUUAUCACUAAACACUGAGAUGUAGCAGAGAACCUACAAAGGAUAGAUAGCCUCAAUCUUUAAGGCUCAAUGAGAAUCACCACAAAGACAUUUUAUUCUUCCUGAAGAUGCCUUCUAUGAUAACUUUGCAUGGAGAAGCUGGGCUAUUCUGAGAUGUCGGUUGCCUGAACAAUUCUUAGGCCUCAGAAGGAUGGCUAGACAACAUCUUUAUAAUAAAGAGUUGAGUCAUGGAUCAACACUAAAAACUGAGAAGUAGAAGAGAACCUACUAAGGAUAGAUAACCUCAAUCUUUAAGGCUCAAUGAGAAUCACCACAAACAAAUGACCUACUAUAGGAAUCUCUUCAGGUAAUAACUACUAGUAGGAAAUACCUGAAAGAAGACUCUUCAGACUAAUAUCUCAUCACCAUAUAUUAUCCUAAAGCAUAUUCUGAAGAUGAUAUCUACAGUGAUGAGUUGGAGUCAUAGAUGGUGCCACUUCUUCAACCAGCUAUAUCACCAAAACAAUCUUCAUUAUACAUGAUGAUGCCUCUUUCCUGUGUAGCAGCAGACACCACCUUCAGAUAAGAAAUGCUUAAGUGAGAAAUGCUCAUUUUGGGAUAUCAUCGGUGAAACUAUAAUUUGGGCAUGGUGCCUGUUUCCCUUGCUGCCACUUGACUCAAUCCCAGAAGCUUAAUAGAUGAAAUAGUAAUGUACAAGGAGCUCAAAAUGGUGGAAGUAAUUAGUGCUUCUAUAAAUAUAGAUUAAUGAUUUAAAAUAUGAUAUAUUAAAAAGAAAAUGCAUGACUAAAAAAACCUGAAUGCAUACUUAUAUGAUUAAUACAUAAAUCAUGUACCUUCUCUUUGGAAAAUUAUCCCCAUGGUUUCUCUCUGUUAAGGGAAGGUAUAUAUGCUUUUAAGCAAAAAAAUAUACACGACAUACACAUACUGUCUGGUGGGGGACAUCUAGUAGUAAGGGCAUAUUGUUAUGCAAAUUUCUACUUUUGUUUGAGUCUUUUUAUGAGGUUUUGCUAUUUCAGUAUUCAUAUUCAUACCUAUGUCAUUUGUUGAGUGACUAUAUGACUGUUUUUAGAUGAAAUAGAAUGAAAUAUUUUAAACAUUGCUAUACAUUGGCAGUUAUAUAGGUACCAAUUCUCUGUGCAAUACACUUCCAUACAUAACAUUUCUGCAUUUGUCUCCUCUAUCAGAGUAAAUUUACCUAGAACUUAAAUUAUUGAAAUUAAGUAUAUUAAUGCUUCAAGUUUUAAAAUUAUCAUUUCUUUCACAAUGUACUUGAAGAGAUUUCCCCUUAGAGCCAAUGAGUUAUAUUGCCAAAUUCUUCAAAAUACCAUUAUGGUGGAUUUUACGAGUGAUUCAGGUCCUUUCCAGUGUGUUAGCCGGAAUUGUUGUUAUGAAUUGUAUUUAUUUUAUUUUUGAGUUUGAUCAUUUUCAUGUUUAUAAGCCAUCUGUAUUAUUUUAAUUUCUUAUUUAUGUAAAAGCCUGGGAGUAUGGUGAAGAUUUAGUCUAAAGUUCUUUUACUGUUGACAAAAGAUAAGAUUUUGGAUUGUCAAACAUUACAUGUUUGUCACACUUUUAAACUUUGUUUUGUUAUCAGAAUGUAUAUUACUGUUACAUGUCUAAGUAUAACCAUGUUUGUUUUUAUGACUUCUAAGUUUCAUGUCAUUUUUUUUUGAAAAAAAUAUACUGAGCCCAUAAAUCCUUUCACCUAUGUUAAUCGUAAUUAUUUUGUGUUUUUUAAAGUGAAAUUCUUGCAUCAUGAAAAGAAUUUUAUUUUGAAAUCUUAGAAUUGCCAAGUUAUUUGCCAUUAUUUAUAAUUAUUUGCUAGUAAUUGCCCAUUUAUCUGUAAUGCCAUCAUGCAUAUGUGCUGUAUUCUCAUCCAUGGAUGGCUCCAUUUUUGUUGUGUGGAUAUGUGUGUCUCUUCUGCCUUAUGUCUCAUGUGUCUUCUUGUUGGAAGAAAUUACAGUUUAGACUGUAAUUUCAUCAACCUUAAUAAAUCAAUCUGGGAAAAACUUGUUUUAAAUGAUAUUGUCUUUGUAAAUCAAGCCAAAGUAUGUCUCUUUUAUUAAAUAUUCAAUUAUUAUUGAUAUUUUCACUAUAACCUUGGUCUUCUCUCUCUUUUUUGCUUCUUUUUUAUUUCUGCAUUUGACGGGAUUAUUUUUUUUUUUUAGAUUUUGUUUUGGGAUAUGGGUUAAGUGGCUAUCUUAUUUCUUUUCAUUGAUUAUGGAAUGUACAAUUUUAUAAAUACUGAUUUUUCUCCUCAUCCAAUUGAUAAUGUCUUUGGUUAUAUUGAUAAAAAUCCAAAAACUGGUCUUCUCAGCACACAUUAGCUAUUGUGGAAGCAUUAUUCAUCCUUGAUUUAAGUGGCAUUCACCAAAAAUGCUUUGUGAGUAUGAGUAGCACAUCGCUACUUGUCUGUUUCCAAAAAGACCACCUUAAAGAGCGAUGAUCAAGCAAAGUUGAAUUAACUAUACUUAA
rnacentral:sRNA from 1 species